rnacentral:lncRNA from 1 species
GGCUUCGCUCUCCCGCGGUCUGGUCGUGCUGCGCGGGGUCUCGGCUCCCAUCACCGCCUCUGCACUGAGGGUCCCUGGAAUUCGGGUGCUCCCGCAUGAAAUGGAAGUGGAAGUACAACAUUUGCCUGAUUCUAGCUGUCAACAUUUUUAGGAAUCUAUCACCCUUCUACAUGGAGCUGAUCUGAGAAAAACCAUGACAGGUUUCUGAGAGGACACAGUGGAGGAUGGAAGCCCUGGGAUGGAAAUUUCAGAAAAGCAGCUGCUGCUCCCAGAAGAACUAAAGCUGUGUGUCCACUGACAAAGAAAGGAGGGGACUCAGUCAAUUAUUUGGAAAAUCUGAGACAAGCCUGUACUGCACAACGCACAUGAGGAUGCAGGGCUGCUCCAGGGAUCGAACUCAGGACCUUGUGCUUGCAAAGCAGGCUCGGAGCCACUGCUGAGCUAAAUCCCCAGCCCUGAAUUAUUCUAUCUUUAAAGCAAGAAAUCCCACUGAACUUCUUUCCUCAACUUUGCAUUUGGUACCAAGAAACUAAGUUCUUCAAUUAUUUGUAUAUCUUGUUCAUGAAGCAUCAUCUAAUUUGAGAGGAAGGAGCCUUAGAGUGAUGUAAAUCACUAGUUCUAUAUGUUCA